rnacentral:rRNA from 1 species
UGGGGAAUUUUGCACAAUGGGGGAAACCCUGAUGCAGCGACGCCGCGUGAUUUAGAAGGCCUUCGGGUUGUAAAAAUCUUUUGUAUGGGAAGAAAAUGACAGUACCAUACGAAUAAGGACCGGCUAAUUACGUGCCAGCAGCCGCGGUAAUACGUAAGGUCCGAGCGUUGUCCGGAAUCAUUGGGCGUAAAGGGUACGUAGGCGGAUAAGCAAGUUAGAAGUGAAAUCCUAUAGCUCAACUAUAGUAAGCUUUUAAAACUGCUCAUCUUGAGGUAUGGAAGGGAAAGUGGAAUUCCUAGUGUAGCGGUGAAAUGCGCAGAUAUUAGGAGGAAUACCGGUGGCGAAGGCGACUUUCUGGGCAUAAACUGACGCUGAGGUACGAAAGCGUGGGUAGCAAACAGG